rnacentral:rRNA from 1 species
UACGUAGGGGGCCAGCGUUGUCCGGAAUCAUUGGGCGUAAAGCGCGCGUAGGCGGCCAGAUAAGUCCGGUGUGAAAGUCAAAGGCUCAACCUUUGAAUGCCGCUGGAAACUGUCUGGCUUGAGUCCGGAAGGGGCGAGUGGAAUUCCUGGUGUAGCGGUGAAAUGCGCAGAUAUCAGGAGGAACACCGGUGGCGAAGGCGGAUCUCUGGGCCUUACCUAACGCUCAGGUGCGAAAGCUAGGGGAGCGAACAGG